rnacentral:rRNA from 1 species
UGGGGAAUAUUGGACAAUGGGCGAAAGCCUGAUCCAGCCAUGCCGCGUGUGUGAAGAAGGUCUUCGGAUUGUAAAGCACUAUAAGUUGGGAGGAAGGGCAGUAAGCUAAUACCUUGCUGUUUUGACGUUACCGACAGAAUAAGCACCGGCUAACUCUGUGCCAGCAGCCGCGGUAAUACAGAGGGUGCAAGCGUUAAUCGGAAUUACUGGGCGUAAAGCGCGCGUAGGUGGUUCGUUAAGUUGGAUGUGAAAGCCCCGGGCUCAACCUGGGAACUGCAUCCAAAACUGGCGAGCUAGAGUACGGUAGAGGGUGGUGGAAUUUCCUGUGUAGCGGUGAAAUGCGUAGAUAUAGGAAGGAACACCAGUGGCGAAGGCGACCACCUGGACUGAUACUGACACUGAGGUGCGAAAGCGUGGGGAGCAAACA